UACGGAGGGUGCAAGCGUUGUCCGGAAUCACUGGGCGUAAAGGGCGCGUAGGCGGCUCAUGAAGGCUGUGGUGAAAGUCCGGGGCUCAACCUCGGAUCGGCCGUGGCGACUCGUGGGCUGGAGCACUGUAGAGGCGGGUGGAAUUCCGGGUGUAGCGGUGGAAUGCGUAGAGAUCCGGAAGAACACCAGUGGCGAAGGCAGCCCCCUGGGUUAACACUGACGCUCAGGCACGAAAGCGUGGGGAGCAAACAGG
rnacentral:rRNA from 1 species